AGGAGACAUCUCCUAGUGUGAAAAACUACCGGUGGUACAGGAUGGGCCCGCGUCUGAUUAGCUGGUUGGCAGGGUAACGGCCUACCAAGGCAACGAUCAGUAGCCGGUCUGAGAGGAUGAACGGCCACAUUGGAACUGAGACACGGCCCAAACUCCUACGGGAGGCAGCAUG
rnacentral:rRNA from 1 species